UAUUAGUCGUGUCCCUGAAGAUCUGGAUUAUGUGUGUUAUUAUAUACAAACUAAGAGUCUGAUGUUUCCUCAUGAACGCUGUGCUCUGCACCAUAGUGAGAAUAUUUAUCAGUGUCCUGCAGCCUUGACACAGUUUGUUUGGACAACAUAGUCCUGGGGAUUUUUCAUUUCGUUUUCUGGAUGCCAAAGUGUGUUUAUACCCCUAGGCCUUCUUAGCAUCAGGUCCCAUGGCCUCUUACUCUUUGAAGUAUCUUUUUGCGAGUCGCGGGGUUUCGUGUGUUUGCUGUUUGCGUCUGUCUAUUUUCUGGCUGCAGCCGAAUAUUUCCAAGUUGAAUUCUUUAUCAUCAGCCCGUAUUGAGUUGUUGACCAGUGUCGCAGUAAUGACGCUCGUAUGGGUCUUGUGACUUCGUUCUUGUGCUCUAUCGUGUAGCACUGAACAGUGAUUUAGCCGUAGCGGCUGAUCAGCGCAGACCUUCCGCCUCCGCUGCCUUCUCAGCUGCUGGACACAGUCCGGUGGGCACCCAGAGGCUCUGCCUGCAGCCGAGACCCCGGAUCCUGGUGCCGCUGAUCGUGCAGGAAAACCACACAGAAAUCCAUUCAUUUAUGUAAUAUCUAGUCUUAUAUGUAUCUACUCAACUGUAAACACUCCAUAAUAAACUACUGCUUGCAUAUUAAUGCUUUUUAACAGCAUCGCCCCUGUGGAGUCAGCUCUCGAUUAUAUUAACUUCAGCGAACGCAACCUUGGAGUUCUUUAUGUUCUCAGCAGCGCCUGUAUUUCAGCGUUCCUGCUUCCAUUAAACCAAGGAGGGGUUUAGCUCUUAAGCGCAGCUAUAAAACUACUAAAGCAGACUUUGCCCCCGUAACCUUGCCUCUAGGUACACUGAUAGCCCUAAGGGCAACUGUCUUUUCCAAUUUACAAAAUGUGUCUCCUUUAUUACAUUUUUGUUUUCGCUCCCCUUUUUUCCCUUAAUAAUUUAUUCUUUUUCACUACUGCAGCUCCUUCGCUGCUGCCUGUCCUUCUUGUUUCUUUCCCAUGUGCUCAUCUUGCUGUUUUGUCGUUCCUUCCUUCCUUCCUUCCUUCCUUCCUUCCUUCCUUCCUUCCUUCCUUCCUUCCUUCCUUCCUUCCCCUCUCCCCAUACAACCCAUUCUUCAUUCAGUCUCACACAGUUGCAUUAAUUUCCCAUUGGAAAAGCACAAUGCAGACGGACCCCAACAGUGGCUGCAUCGGUAGCAUGAGCCGGAGCCGGACGCGCUUCUCAUUACAGUGAAACAAAGCCAGAACCUGUGAAGUGUUCCCGGAGGCCACGGUGUUUCAUGUGCGCGUGGACUUGCUUGGUGGGAGAUGACUUGAGAAGGUCACAAUCAACAUGCGGCAACAUGGACUCUGCAGUAGGAUCGACUCCUCUGUCUGUGUCUCUCAGCCUCUCUCUCCUCAGUGAAACCACUGAUACUGUCAUGGGGAGCCGGAAUGACAGAUGAGAGGAAGGCCCAAGUUGUCAGAAGCUAUUCUCUACACACAUCUGUCAGCUAACCAGUCUUCAAAGGCACUGAGACGGAGAAAGAUGGAAGUGUAGAGAAUGCGUAAAGUGACAAGAAGUAUGAAAAUGUAGGAGAGGGAGCGAUCAGACGCUACAAUCGGGGAAGAAGGUAGAACGCGGCGGAGAGGAUAACACGAGAUGAUAUGCAAAUGACGCGGCUGCGUGAAAAUCUCAAAAUUGCCUUUGUUACUCAAUUUACCGCGAGACGUGAAAAUCCGAGUUGGAACCGCGCAAGAGGCAGCGGCAGCGCAUAACACAGGUGAUAUCCCUUCAAAGCGCCUCAGCGCCGGCCUGUCGGCGCCGAGAUUAAGUGGCGCCGUUGGAUCGGCCGUCACGUCAGCCGCUGACGUCCGCGUUCCGUCUGCUUGAGGUUUGUUUUAGCCGAAGGAGCGAAUUGAAAAGCAUUCCUCAUCUCUGGCCGGUCACCAGACGACGAAAUGAGGUUUUUGCCUGAACCCUAAAUGAGAGAUCUGUAGAAAGACAGCUUGACUUCUCAGGAGAUUGUUUUCAGGAGGGUCGGUGAUACUGGAUCUACACUUUUUUUACUGUAGAUGUUCAAGUUUCUGAAAAGAAGCCGUCGUCUGGGGGAAAAUAAAGCGCGAGGUGCGAUGACAUUUCUACGAGUGCGUAUUCUUCCAGCAGCAGUUGAUUAGCACAGCUUUCUUUUAUCACCUGUCACUUUACUUUAGUCUCCGCUCUCGCCGGUCCUUAGGAUACGCUUCAGCCAAGAAAUACAGAUUGGAACCAUUUUUCAUCGCGACUGGGAAUUGGGCGCCUAAUAAGUGCUGCAGCGCUCCUGUGCCAGUAUUGGCAGGUUAACAUACAGCAUAUUAAACAUGUAGCGGGCGCAGUCAUCACUUCUCUGCUUACGGAUGGAGAAACUAAUUCAAACUGACGUCAGAGAAAACAGCUGCGUCGGCCGAGGGCUCUGCUACAGAGGAGAUUCACAGUGUACAGUAAGGAGGUGGUUCGAGCCCUCUGGUUUGUCACAGAGCCCCCCCCCAACACACACACACACACACACACACACACACACACACCAGGAUUGAAAAUUAAUUGUGGAUAAUGCAGAAGAAAGCACACGGUGGUUAUUAACCUCUACACAGUAUAAAACAAGAAUGUGCUCCGCAACUUUCAUGUAAUCAGACAAUUAAUUAUGCCGACGCUAAAUGUGCCAAGCCGCUGAUCCGCAGACUGAUAAGCGCUGAAUGCAGCGUGGAAUGAGCAUAAGUGCAUUUUAGGUUCUUGUCAGUGCUUAUGUGAACAACAAAUGGGGCCUGUCAACAGUGGGUUGCUCAUGCGCUACAGGCUGGAGCAUUAACAUCUUUAUUGCUGUUGUGCUCCCUUGCAGUUUCAAGGCGUAAGCAGGUUAUAUUAAAACAGAGGGAACAGAUCCGGGUUUGAAGUGGCACCAUGAUUCACAACCCCCCACCCCCCGCUCUAACACACACCUCCGUGGCCUCGGUCCGUGGAGGCCACAGCAGAAUACUGUAAUGCAUUUAAAAAGUCUCUCCCUCUCGCUCUCUCUGUUCUGGCCUCAGCACUCAAUUUCCCCUAGCAGCGUGUUGAGUUUGGAUCAGAUAACUGCCAGAAAGUGUGAAGAAUCUAAUGCAUAUCAAGCGAAGAGACAUGCUGACACUCCCCGGUGACAGAAACAUUGUGACUGUACUCCAAAAAAAUACAAAUCCAGGAUAAUGCUGAGAGGAGCAGAGUCAAAAAUGGAGCGGUGAGCAGAAAUGGAGCUAUGGGAAGAAGAGGAAGAUGAGGAGUGAGCGUCCUUUGAUGUUCAUGGCAAAAUUGUCUUGAAAUCCUUUCUUGUAACGCACGUUUUGGAAGAGCUGGUGCUUUAUUGGUUUAUAUGUGAUGCCACGUGUUGCUCUUAAGUGCAAAGGUUAGUUUGGCCUUAGCUCCAUGUGAGUGGUUUAUGGUAACAGCUGUGCUGCUUUAGAACAGGUUACAUGUAACAUGAGCUGAUUGCAUCCUAGAGCUGAAGGAGGCGGUGGUCAUUCAGAAAAGCUAACACUGUAGGUACAGUAUGUUCCAUGCGUUUGGAUCGAGAAGGUGUAGAAUCCUGGAAUACUGGCCCAUCAGCUUGGUUAUUUUAAAUGGGUCAUUUACACAAAACUAGAAUCACCAUGACAGGUCAGGACUUUGUCAGUGGGUCCUAAGGUCUGUCCAGUCAGUGCUGCUCAGAGGAAGCAACACCAUGAGCAGCAUCGUGAUAACUAAGAGAGCUCGAUAUGAUACAUGGAAAUUAAUUUACACCAUUUAUCAGUAAUGUUGUUCUGCUAAUGUGUCUAAUGCAAUGGACUGGUAAUUGAAUCUGAUGCUGCACAGCUGUCGGUGAGGGCAGUGUGGGAGAAAUAAAUGGCUAAGAAAGACUCUCCUACGUGUCUUUGGGACUAAUUACAUUAGCGGAAUAUUUCACUGCUUUAUUUAUAACUGUAUUUAAUUGUAAUCUGUUGAAUCUCAUGUUUUUCUUUGAUCAUCUGCAGAUCUCAUAGAACAAAGAGCCACAACUUCACACCGUCAGGGUCACCUGAGACCUUUCCGAUACAGAGAGGGCUGCAUUGAUUGAGCCGUGGUCCCGUCUCUGUCUGAAUCAAUGCAGACGUUCUUGACAUUAAGCUGGUGCCUUUUUUACUGCCACUGUACAGACUGUGGGAACAAACGGACGGCCACAGACCGUCUGAAGCUUCACGUGUGCCAGCGAGCAUCACGUCACAGCCUGUGUCAUCCUACACACGCAUGUUGGCCUGAGUCAAACAUGUUCAGGUGCCUUGAAAAAGUAAGUCCUACUGUAAGUACAAGAACAAGCAGAGGGAUAUUUACCCAGUCAGCAGGGAUGUUGAGCUGCAUAGAUUUGGUUCUGGCUUCUGUCGACGUCCACAGCACUAUAAAAUGUCAACCCAGUCUGUGGGGACACAUUCAAACUAAAGGGCCCCACCGGUUCAGGCUUCCCCAUAAAUAAAUAAAGAAACGCUGCUGUCAACGCUCAAUAAGCCAAAGCAGCCUGGAAGGAGAGCUCUGCUCCUGGUGCUGUACUGAACCCCAGCUUUUCAGCAGACUCUCUGAGCGUUGGUUUGGCAGCCGUGGCCUCCGCGCUUGGCUUUGAAAGGCUGACGCGGAAGAGACGAUCGCGCCGCGCGUGCGAUCGCGUGUGAAACGCUGCCGUUUCCCCCCGCGAUUCUUAACCACACGGAAAGUGUUGCGAGUCGGUGAGAACCUCUCAAAGGAUUGGGCCCCAGUCAUGCGAAAGGUGCAAAGCGCACACGCUCAGGCGCUCCCCACCGCCGGAUCCUCACGCUCCGCUCUCACACAAUGUCCCUCCUCCUCCCAGGCUGGUUACGGAGCAGGAAGUAGUAAAUGGAGGUGUAUUAGUGACAGAGCGCGACUUAAUAAUGGCUUAUGACGAGAUAAAAAGGCUUUUACCACCCGGCCCUGGCAGGGUGGUACAGUAAAAAGCAGGGUGGGAUGGAGAUGAUGGAGAGGAGACACAAUUCAACCUCCACACGCCUCUCAUUACUGUAUUUGGGCUCUGGCAGAAGUCCAUCUUUCCCUCUGUGUCACAACCUGGAGAGAGGAAGUCGUGAGAGUGUUUAAUUUCCCUCCUUCCUCCUUGUCUUGUCUAUCAGAUCUAUAUCGCCCCUGAUUUACCUCCUUCCUGUCCUCAUUUCUCCUUCAAAAGUAAAGAAGUGGACACGACAGCACAGUUAAAUUAUAAAAUACUAAAAACAUAAAAAUGUAAUAUCUAAAUUAACGCUUACCUUUAAUUUUCCAACAGUGAGGUCACUCUUUCACCCUUAUACAUAUUUUGAAUUAACAUUUUUUUGUUUUACUUUGAACUAUUAAGAAAUAUGAAUCCACUUUUCACCCCUUCCAUGAUUAAAAUCUUAACUCUAAUGAAUAUAUUCAAUCUCGAGCAGGUUCUGUCUACUGGUAUGCACUGCACUGCGCCAUUUCUGCUGAAUUGGCAAUAACGGGCUCCUACUCUUACCUCAGAUUUAACUACAGCACCGCUACAGUAGGUUUCUGCUGGAAUCAAAUUUAAUUAAGGGAUGCAACGCAACUUGGGAGGACUUUAAACAGUCCUAGUCCAAUGUGCCUUGUAGCUGUCAAAACUAUUUGGUAUGUAAAUUGAAAAUUUUGCUGAAGUGGCCACAAACCGAAUCCUUAUUUAAAUGUGUGUUUCAAAGCUUUACCUCCUCCAUCUCUGAGAGGGUUACACUUAAAACUCAUUUUUAGAUCAUAAGCAUAUGAGGAGAGGAAAGAAAUCAGGAGAAUUUUAAUCAUGGAUAGGAAAAAGAAAAAUCAAUUCUACAGCAUAUGGGCAGAACAAAAACAGGCUGCAGUGCUGGCGUUAUUGGGCCGAUACCAGUUCUAUAGGCCGGACAAGAUCAGGUUGGAAAUCCCAAAGACUGAAGAUUAAUUUAGUUUUAGUUCAACUACCUUUCCUCUGGCUCACAUUAACAGUGUGAAUUAAUGCAGCCACAUAUGCUCUAUUUAACAAGGUCUAAUUAAUGUUCAUUAAGACACAUUCUUGUCCUUUAUUUACAUCGAGCCAACUAGAAAAUCACCCCAAUGACACACUGAGAAAGUUGGCAAGGUACAGUAGGAAGGAUUGUGGAGACGUUGGGCACCAUGGGAUGAAUCUACACCUUGAUAAUGGUUUGUUUACUACCAUCACUACAAAGGUAAAAAAAAUAAUUCAGUAAAAGUCUCCUGUAAGAUAUCAGAUGACGAAUUUAAUUCACAGCACCAGAAAGUUUCACAAUCCUACAGUAUGAAGCCAACACAGACCCAUUCAGUACCAGGGUCAAGGCCAAACUGAAGGUAAAGGUUCACUCACUCAUCCUCACACACAUCACAGUAUCCUGGACCCCUGGGCAGGUCGCCAGUCCACAAGUCCACAAGAGGAGCAUAAUUACUAUAGGUGAAUAGGAUACUGCAAACUUACAGGAGGUGGAGAUACCUGUAUGAGGACAAAAGAGGAACACAUGUAGGUCAGGGGUGGUUCAUAGAGGAGCCUAGUGUAUGCAGCAGGUCCCACAGCUACAGAGAAGCAGUAACUCCCGCCUGUUUUUAACCCUUCACGGCUGGCGGCCACCUGCAGCAGGUCUCUGAUGCAUGUGUGUGAUGCAUGUGUG